rnacentral:rRNA from 1 species
AGAGUUUGAUACAUGGCUCAGGAUGAACGCUGGCGGCGUGCAUAACACAUUCAAGUCGAACGGUGAAGGAAGCUUGCUUCCGGAUCAGUGGCGGACGGGUGAGUAACGCGUGAGCAACCUGCCUGCAUUGGGGGAUAACACAGGGAAACUUGUGCUAAUACCUCAUGACACAUACUUACCGCAUGAUAGGUAUGUCAAAGAGCGAUCGAUGCAGGAUGGGCUCGCGUAUGAUUAGGUAGUUGGCGGGGUAAGGGCCCACCAAGCCUGCGAUCAUUAGCCGAACUGAGAGGUUGAACGGCCACAUUGGAACUGAGAAACGGUCCAGACUCCUACGGGAGGCAGCAGUGGGGAAUAUUGGGCAAUGGGCGAAAGCCUGACCCAGCCGACGCCGCGUGAGGGAAGACGGUCUUCGGAUUGUAAACCUCUUUCAGCAGGGAAGAAGAAAGUGACGGUACCUGCAGAAGAAGUCACGGCUAACUACGUGCCAGCAGCUGC